rnacentral:rRNA from 1 species
GAUGAAUGCUGGCGGCGUGCCUAACACAUGCAAGUCGAGCGGCAGCGAGGGGUGCUUGCACCCUGUCGGCGAGCGGCGAACGGCUGAGUAACGCGUAGGAAUUUGCCCCAAAGUGAGGAAUAACUGCCCGAAAGGGUAGCUAAUGCCGCAUAUGGUCUUCGGAUUAAAGGAUUUAUCCGCUUUGGGAGAAGCCUGCGUUGGAUUAGGUUGUUGGUAGGGUAAUGGCCUACCAAGCCGACGAUCCAUAGCUGGUCUGAGAGGAUGAUCAGCCAGACUGGAACUGAGACACGGUCCAGACUCCUACGGGAGGCAGCAGUGAGGAAUCUUCCACAAUGGGCGAAAGCCUGAUGGAGCAACACCGCGUGAAGGAUGAAGGCCUUCGGGUUGUAAACUUCUUUUAUGAGUGAAGAAUAGGACGGUAACUCAUGAAUAAGCACCGGCUAACUACGU